ACCUAGACUCCACAAAAGCAGCAGCUGAUCUCUCCAAAACAACAAAGAUUCCAAUUCCAAAAAAUAAGGAUGAGCCGCAUAGGAAAUGGGGCAUCGAGAAUUUGAAAUCGAAAGUAAGUUCCUCGUCAACUCUUGUGUAAACAAAUUGAGGGAGACCAGUCGUUACACAUAAUAUUACAGAUUUCAUUUUCAAAGUUGUAAAUGAAUUGGAGAGUACAUUUAAACUAAGAGUUUCUCAAUUUUGUUUUAGCUGAUUUUGGUCUCCUCUGUAAAGUCGUGCAUUUGAUUGAACGAAAUAUUUAUGGCUUCAACACUUACCUCUCAUUUGAUACUUUUUGUCUUAGUGCAAUCUUAGGGAUAUAUAUAAGAAAGCGUUUGUCUUUUAGUUCUACGUACAUAUGGAUCCAUAACAGACGUUUAUAAGGGUUCAAGAACGAUUUGCACAAAUGAAUCAGAAAUUGUGAAAUUAGCAAAAAGCGUAAUUAAGAAAUCGAAGCAAGUUCAUGAUUUGUCGUUGUUUGUGUGUGAGAGGUCGAUUUGGGUUUCAAGCUUUUCGGUGUCGAUUCGAGGUUUGGGUUUGUAAUUUUGGUAUUUUAGUUCAAGAAUUAUUACUUUGUUUAGC
rnacentral:lncRNA from 1 species